rnacentral:rRNA from 1 species
UACGUAGGGUGCAAGCGUUGUCCGGAAUUAUUGGGCGUAAAGAGCUCGUAGGCGGUUUGUCGCGUCUGCUGUGAAAACGCGAGGCUCAACCUCGCGCCUGCAGUGGGUACGGGCAGACUAGAGUGCGGUAGGGGAGAUUGGAAUUCCUGGUGUAGCGGUGGAAUGCGCAGAUAUCAGGAGGAACACCGAUGGCGAAGGCGGGUCUCUGGGCCGGUACCGACGCUGGAGGAGCGAAAGCGUGGGGAGCGAACAGG